ACGGAAGGCAGCAGUGGGGAAUAUUGCACAAUGGGCGAAAGCCUGAUGCAGCGACGCCGCGUGAGCGAAGAAGUAUUUCGGUAUGUAAGGCUCUAUCAGCAGGGAAGAAAAAUGACGGUACCUGACUAAGAAGCACCGGCUAAAUACGUGCCAGCAGCCGCGGUAAUACGUAUGGUGCAAGCGUUAUCCGGAUUUACUGGGUGUAAAGGGAGCGCAGGCGGUACGGCAAGUCUGAUGUGAAAGCCCGGGGCUCAACCCCGGUACUGCAUUGGAAACUGUCGAACUAGAGUGUCGGAGGGGUAAGUGGAAUUCCUAGUGUAGCGGUGAAAUGCGUAGAUAUUAGGAGGAACACCAGUGGCGAAGGCGGCUUACUGGACGAUCACUGACGCUGAGGCUCGAAAGCGUGGGGAGCAAACAGGAUUAGAUACCCUGGUA
rnacentral:rRNA from 1 species